rnacentral:rRNA from 1 species
AACGUGGAUUAAUGCCUGAUAGUCUCUACGGAGUAAAUGGUGCUCCGGGUAUCGCUAGAGGAUGGGCUCGCGGCCUAUCAGCUUGUUGGUGAGGUAAAGGCUCACCAAGGCGACGACGGGUAGCUGGUCUGAGAGGACGAUCAGCAACACUGGAACUGAGACACGGUCCAGACACCUACGGGUGGCAGCAGUCGAGAAUCAUUCACAAUGGAGGCAACUCUGAUGGUGCAACGCCGCGUGGAGGAUGACGGUCCUAGGAUUGUAAACUCCUGUCAUUGGGGAGUAAGACUUAAGCGUUAAGAGCGUUUAAGUUUGAUAGUACCCAAAGAGGA